UACAGAGGUCUCAAGCGUUGUUCGGAUUCAUUGGGCGUAAAGGGCUCGUAGGCGGCCAACUAAGUCAGACGUGAAAUCCCUCGGCUUAACCGGGGAACUGCGUCUGAUACUGGAUGGCUUGAGAUUGGGAGAGGGAUGCGGAAUUCCAGGUGUAGCGGUGAAAUGCGUAGAUAUCUGGAGGAACACCGGUGGCGAAGGCGGCAUCCUGGACCGGUAUUGACGCUGAGGCGCGAAAGCCAGGGGAGCAAACGGG
rnacentral:rRNA from 1 species